rnacentral:lncRNA from 1 species
UUGGACAAAACGGUUUGUCCAUUCUCCUUUUCCUCUGUUAGCUUCCAUAGGAAAACCAGGGAAGAAAAUGGGUGGCGCCUCACCCUUAUGGAGAAGUCUAGCUGGCUCAAAACUUUGGAACUCCAAAGGGCUCUUUACCCAUGCGCCUUGGAUAGAAAGAUUUCACCAAAUAGGAUUGAGUUGAAAGCAGUAAAUAAAAAGGAAGAAAGAGAUUAGACAAAAUUAGGGAUCCUUUGUGCCUAUAAAAGGGAGUUCUUCUACCCAGCAAAAUCCAGAGCCUGACCAAGCCUUGUCAAGCAACUGGGAAUUUGCUUAACCUUUGGUCUCUGGAAAUCGUUCUAAUUUUCCUCUGCCCUGAUCUAAACCUUUGGUCUCUGUAAGAAACUCAUGCUUCUCUCUCACUCAAAUUGCUAAACUCGUGAACGCUUAGCUCCCAUGCCACAAGCUCCUCAAGCUAAGCCAUGAAUCAAUUUAUUAUGUUUAUUCGGCUAUUGGU